rnacentral:lncRNA from 1 species
CAACCCUAGAAAAACCUGCUUUGUUGUCCUGAAGGAGCUGUUAUUGUUCAGAAUAUUUUACAUGUGAAUUUCUGCUCCAGCUGGCUGGGGACCAUCAUGACAAGGGAAUGUGAUCAAGAAGACAAACACAUAGAUAUCAUGAAGAAAAGAAAACGGAAGGUACCAAUAUACUUUAUUCUGAGCCAAGGCAAAGUCCAUCUGACAACAGCAGAUUGGACAAUAACUGAAAAUGUAGUCUGUAAGGAAGCUUAAUAAUAAGAUAUACAUCUCUUUAUAUUUCACUAAAUGGCUAAAGAAUGCGGAAAACUUAUGUUUAUACAAAAACCAGCAGACUGACAUUUAUAGCAGC